GUCUCAUGGAGUAGUGGUUUGAGUGUCAGACUACGACUCUGGAAACCAGAGUUCGAAUCCAGGUUGGGCCA